rnacentral:rRNA from 1 species
GUGGGGAAUUUUGCGCAAUGGGGGAAACCCUGACGCAGCGACGCCGCGUGAGCGAUGAAGGCCUUCGGGUCGUAAAGCUCAGUCAUUGGGGAUGAAAAGGACAGUACCCAAAGAGGAAGCCCCGGCUAACUACGUGCCAGCAGCCGCGGUAAUACGUAGGGGGCGAGCGUUGUCCGGAAUUACUGGGUGUAAAGGGCGUGUAGGCGGGGAUGCAAGUUACCGGUAAAAACCCGUGGCUCAACCACGGGCUUGCCGAUAAAACUGCAUCUCUUGAGUGUAGGAGAGGGAAGUGGAAUUCCCGGAGUAGCGGUGAAAUGCGUAGAUACCGGGAGGAACACCAGUGGCGAAGGCGGCUUCCUGGCCUAUCACUGACGCUGAGGCGCGAAAGCUAGGGGAGCGAACGGGAUUAGAAACCCUAGUAGUCC